CCUAACACAUGCAAGUCGAACGGUAACAGGAAACAGCUUGCUGUUUCGCUGACGAGUGGCGGACGGGUGAGUAAUGUCUGGGAAACUGCCUGAUGGAGGGGGAUAACUACUGGAAACGGUAGCUAAUACCGCAUAACGUCGCAAGACCAAAGAGGGGGACCCUCGGGCCUCUUGCCAUCGGAUGUGCCCAGGUGGGAUUAGCUUGUUGGUGGGGUAACGGCUCACCAAGGCGACGAUCCCUAGCUGGUCUGAGAGGAUGACCAGCCACACUGGAACUGAGACACGGUCCAGACUCCUACGGGAGGCAGCAGUGGGGAAUAUUGCACAAUGGGCGCAAGCCUGAUGCAGCCAUGCCGCGUGUAUGAAGAAGGCCUUCGGGU
rnacentral:rRNA from 1 species